CGCCGGUUAGCUCAGUUGGUAGAGCGGGCGCCCAUAUAUAGAGGUCUGGUCCUCAACGCAGCGGGCCCUGGUUCGACUCCGACCUGCGG
rnacentral:tRNA from 1 species